GUAUUUGUGCGAGUUAACGCAAGGUACAUUCUGAUACUUCAUUGGGGUAUGUUAAGGGUUUGCAUGCGAGCCUCCGAUCUCUCAUCGGCUCGCACACUUGGUUCACAAAGGGGUGGAAUAGAGAAGGGACACGCAUCCGGACGAGCACAUCCCAUUGCUGGGCAGCAUCAGUACCGAACACGCAUUCCGAGCUUCGCUAAUGAUCCUUCCGCAGGUUCACCUACGGAAA
rnacentral:misc_RNA from 1 species